rnacentral:rRNA from 1 species
CCUACGGGUGGCAGCAGUGAGGAAUAUUGGUCAAUGGACGAGAGUCUGAACCAGCCAAGUAGCGUGAAGGAUGACUGCCCUAUGGGUUGUAAACUUCUUUUAUAUGGGAAUAAAAUGUUCCACGUGUGGGAUUUUGUAUGUACCAUAUGAAUAAGGCUCGGCUAACUCCGUGCCAGCAGCCGCGGUAAUACGGAGGAUCCGAGCGUUAGCCGGAUUUAUUGGGUUUAACGGGAGCGUAGGUGGAUUGUUAAGUCAGUUGUGAAAGUUUGCGGCUCAACCGUAAAAUUGCAGUUGAAACUGGCAGUCUUGAGUACAGUAGAGGUGGGCGGAAUUCGUGGUGUAGCGGUGAAAUGCUUAGAUAUCACGAAGAACUCCGAUUGCGAAGGCAGUUCACUGGACUGCAACUGACACUGAGGCUCGAAAGUGUGGGUAUCAAACAGGAUUAGAUACCCCAGUAGUC